CGCGCAGGCGGCCUUUUAAGUCUGAUGUGAAAUCUUGCGGCUCAACCGCAAGCGGUCAUUGGAAACUGGGAGGCUUGAGUACAGAAGAGGAGAGUGGAAUUCCACGUGUAGCGGUGAAAUGCGUAGAUAUGUGGAGGAACACCAGUGGCGAAGGCGACUCUCUGGUCUGUAACUGACGCUGAGGCGCGAAAGCGUGGGGAGCAAACAGGAUUAGAUACCCUGGUAGUCCACGCCGUAAACGAUGAGUGCUAGGUGUUAGGGGUUUCGAUGCCCGUAGUGCCGAAGUUAACACAUUAAGCACUCCGCCUGGGGAGUACGGCCGCAAGGCUGAA
rnacentral:rRNA from 1 species